CCUACGGGUGGCAGCAGUGGGGAAUAUUGCACAAUGGGGGAAACCCUGAUGCAGCGACGCCGCGUGAGUGAAGAAGUACUUCGUUACGUAAAGCUCUAUCAGCAGGGAAGAAACACUGACCUUACGGUCAGCAGACGGUACCUGAGUAAGAAGCCCCGGCUAACUACGUGCCAGCAGCCGCGGUAAUACGUAGGGGGCAAGCGUUAUCCGGAUUUACUGGGUGUAAAGGGAGCGUAGACGGUGCGCCAAGUCUGGAGGGAAAUGCCGCAGCUUAACUGCGGAACUGCUUUUGAAACUGGCGAACUAGAGUGCGGGAGAGGUAAGCGGAAUUCCUAGUGUAGCGGUGAAAUGCGUAGAUAUUAGGAAGAACACCGAUGGCGAAGGCGGCUUACUGGACCGUAACUGACGUUGAGGCUCGAAAGCGUGGGGAGCAAACAGGAUUAGAUACCCCGGUAGUC
rnacentral:rRNA from 1 species